GCAUAUCAAUAAGCGGAGGAAAAGAAACCAACAGGGAUUGCCUCAGUAACGGCGAGUGAAGCGGCAACAGCUCAAAUUUGAAAUCUGGCCCUAGGCCCGAGUUGUAAUUUGCAGAGGAUGCUUUUGGUGCGGUGCCUUCCAAGUUCCCUAGAACGGGACGCCAGAGAGGGUGAGAGCCCCGUACAGUUGGACACCAAGCCUUUGUAAAGCUCCUUCGACGAGUCGAGUAGUUUGGGAAUGCUGCUCAAAAUGGGAGGUAUAUUUCUUCUAAAGCUAAAUACCGGCCAGAGACCGAUAGCGCACAAGUAGAGUGAUCGAAAGAUGAAAAGCACUUUGAAAAGAGGGUUAAACAGCACGUGAAAUUGUUAAAAGGGAAGCGCUUGUGACCAGACUUGCGUCCGGUGAAUCACCCAGCUCUCGCGGCUGGGGCACUUCGCCGGCUCAGGCCAGCAUCAGCUCGCUGUCGGGGACAAAAGCUUCAGGAACGUAGCUCUCUUCGGGGAGUGUUAUAGCCUGUUGCACAAUACCCUUCGGCGGGCUGAGGUACGCGCUCCGCAAGGAUGCUGGCAUAAUGGUCAUCAGCGACCCGUCUUGAAACACGGACCAAGGAGUCAACCUUAUGUGCGAGUGUUCGGGUGUCAAACCCCUACGCGUAAUGAAAGUGAACGCAGGUGAGAGCUUCGGCGCAUCAUCGACCGAUCCUGAUGUUCUCGGAUGGAUUUGAGUAAGAGCAUAUAGGGUUGGACCCGAAAGAAGGUGAACUAUGCGUGUAUAGGGUGAAGCCAGAGGAAACUCUGGUGGAGGCUCGCAGCGGUUCUGACGUGCAAAUCGAUCGUCAAAUAUGCGCAUGGGGGCGAAAGACUAAUCGAACCUUCUAGUAGCUGGUUUCC
rnacentral:rRNA from 1 species